rnacentral:ncRNA from 1 species
AUAAAAUCUAUGAGUAAGAGUAGUAACUUUUUAAGGGAUUUUCAGAGAGUAAGUGGUUUGGUGUGAACUUACAAUAACUUUUUUAGCGAAUGGACUUACGAGAGAGAGCUGAAUUUGAGUAUGCAAUACGUUUUCCUACGUUACAGGGAUAAGAUAUGAAAGUAUCUGACAAUGAGAUGGUAUAAGUAAGAUUAUAAUCUUUGUAAUUUUAUUUAUGCUAACAGAGGUGGCAACGCGGAUAUUCGCCCUCUAU